rnacentral:piRNA from 1 species
UGUUAGUCACAUGAUACUCUUCUCCAA